GGGGGUGUAGCUCAGUGGUAGAGUGCUUGCCUAGAGUAUGUGGCCCUGGGUUUGAUCCCCAAUAACACCA
rfam:Ictidomys tridecemlineatus contig061249, whole genome shotgun sequence.